ensembl:lncRNA
UUCCGGGACAAGUGGGAACCAAAUACUUCUGUAAUGCUCAGUGUCUACCCCGGACUGUUGCUCUCUAAAUGUAACCUCAAGAUAGAAUUAAGGCGGUAUAUUUUCUGAAUCGUUGGAGAAUCAUUCGGUCUUAACUUGAAAGCCCAAGAGUAAAGAAUGCCUGCUUACCUGCCAACAAGAGAAAGGAAAACAACUAACAGGAAGAAGAGUGUUUGCUACAGUUACUGCUUGUGAAAGACAACUAGAAAUAGAAUUUGCCAUGAAAUUUAAAACUUCACAAACCUCACGGUGCUUCUUUUGAAGAAAAAUGUAGAGUUGGUAGUCGGUAUGAAAUUCUGAUGUGAACUCUUCCUUAGAACUUUACAGGAUAAGAGGAAAUGUGUGAAAUGGAGAUUGAACAAUCUUGUCUUGAAGCAGAAGACUCAAAUGGAAGCUCCUGGCAUUCCUCAA